UGCGCAGGCGGGCUUGUAAGUCAGUGGUGAAAUACUGCCGCUUAACGGUAGAACUGCCAUUGAUACUGCAAGUCUUGAAUAUGGUUGAGGUAGGCGGAAUGUGUCGUGUAGCGGUGAAAUGCAUAGAUAUGACACAGAACGCCAAUUGCGAAGGCAGCUUACUAAGCCAUUACUGACGCUGAGGCACGAAAGCGUGGGGAGCGAACAGGAUUAGAUACCCUGGUAGUCC
rnacentral:rRNA from 1 species